AAAAAGACAAACCAUGGGUUUCCGUGUCUAACGUUUGACUGUCCGUCUUAUAUGCAAUUUUUUUAUAAUUAGUAUUUUCAUUGUUGUUAGAUGAUAAAACAUGAUUAAUACUUUAUGCGUGACUUGUCUUUUUAAUUUUUUUUAUAAUUUUUUCAAAUAAGACGGACGGUCAAACGUUGGACACGGAAACCCAGGGUUUGUCUUUUU
rfam:Oryza glumipatula chromosome 2, whole genome shotgun sequence.